rnacentral:lncRNA from 1 species
AUGCAUCGCUGGCUCUUCAUGACUAGCACAGCCAUGACUCAUGGUCCUAAGAAGCAUCUGAAGCAUGUGGAAGCUCCAAAGCAUUGGAUGCUGGAUAAACUGACUGAUGUGUUUGCCCCUUGUCCAUCCAUUGGUCCCCAUCCUACCAGAUGGAUAUCAAAAACCAUCUAUUGCCCACUGUGCCAUCCUAGCCAUUGCUAGGCGGAAGCUGAGCUAGAAGACUAAGCAGGUGCUCCAGCCACUGUUCAAGGACAUCUUCAAGGGCAGCCAGUUUACCACCUGCUGGGUUUCCUUCCUCAUGUGAUUUACCUGGAAUUUAAGAGGAAUACAGAUCCUGAAAUGUGUGAACCAACUGUUGUGAGCCUACCUGGGAAAUUAAUGACUAUCUGAUCAUCUGGAUUUGGAAGCAAUCAAUGAAUAGAAACAACAUGCAAGGUGUAUGCUUUGACUAGGAUAAGAAAUGGCUUAUCAAUCAGAUGUUCACUGCUUGGAUGGCACAGGGAUCUUUGCAGAUGCAUCUGUGCCUGAGUGGAACCUCUACUGACUUAUUUAUGAUAGACUUUAUCAAAACAAAUGUUUUUGACGAUGAAAAGACAAAAUCAUCAUCAUCAUCAUCAUCAUCAUCAUUAUCUACCCAGCUUCCUUGUUUAUAGGAUCAUAAGGAAUUGUGUCCAUUUUACUAAUGAAGAUGCUAAGGUUCAGAAGUGUUAAAUGACUUCUCCAAAGUCACACAGCUUCCAUGGACAUGAAGCAGCUCCCAAAGCCACAUCUUUAAUAUGGCUCUGUUCUAAAAGGGAGCAUCAAUGUGAGUUACAAUGAAAUUUUCAUAACCUAAUUGACCAAUAAACUUCAUAAAUAAUGACAACCAUAAAUAUAGUAUUUCUUUUAAUAUAUUUGCACUCAGCUCUGGGAAUAAUAAUCUAAACAGAGACACUAUUUAGAUUUCAUUCAUUCAUAACCACCCAUUACAUUGAGAGCACAGGGCUAGAAUUCUUCAAUGAAGAAUAAACAAUAGAUAUUUUCUUCUCUACUUGUAUGCACACUAAUAAUAGAAUCUUAAAAUGAGUUCUGUAGUCCUUCAAGGUAAUAAAACCUACCCAUUUUGACAUUGAGCUGUCCGUUAUCCAAUACAGAGCAAUUUUCUUAUUAAGACAAUUUUCAAAGCAGUUUUAGGUUCAUAGCAGAAUUAAGGGGAAGAUACAGAAGUUUCUCAUAUACCCUGACCCUACACAUACAUAACUUCUCCUGUUAUCAAUAUCCCCCACCAGAGGGGUACAUUUGUUACAGUUGAUGAACCUAUACUGACACAUCAUUAUUACCCAAACUCUGCAGUUUGCAUUAGCACUCUUGGGGUACAUUCUAUAGGUUUGGACAAAUGUACAAUGACAUGUACCCAUCAUUGUGGUAUCACACAGAAUAAUUUCACUGCCCUAAAAAUCUUCUAUGCUCCACCCAAUUAUCCCUCUCCACUCCCAACUCCUGGCAACCAAAGAUCUUUUUACUAUUUCCAUAGUUCACCUUUUGCAGAAUGCCAUGUAGUGGGAAUGAUAUAGUAUGUAGCUGUGAUAUUGUGAUUUAUAAUAAGAAACAUAUUUGGUUUUCCUCCAGUUUCUGGCACAGAGAUCUUAAAACCCUAGGAAUUUCCAAAGUGGUGAGAGCAACAAAGGUGUCUUUUGAUAUGUUAAUGAGUUGACUUUUGGACUGUACCUAAGGAUGGGGGCUGGUUGUCAGAGGAACCAACUCUGGCAUUAGAGUUGGAACUUUCAGCCCCACUCCCCAUGAGAGAGGCGAGGGGUCUGGAGAUUGAGUUCAAUCCCCAAUGGCCAAUGAUUUAAUCAGUAGUGCCUAAGUAAUGAAACUUCAAUAAAAACCCAAAAGAUGGGCUUAGAGAGCUUCCAGGUUGGUGAAUUCGUGGAGGUGCUGGAAGAGUGACAAACUCUGAGGGCAUGAAAAAUUCGAGCCCCCUUUACCCACAGCUUCUCUUAUGUACCUUUUCUGUCUAGAUGUUCUCAAAUUAUAUCCUUUUAUGAUAAACCAGCAAUCUAGUAAGUAAAAGGUUUCUCUGAGUUCUGUGAGCUGCUACUGCAAAUUAACAGCCCCAAGGAAGGGAGUUUUGGAACCUCUAAUCCAGUCAGUUGGCCAGAAGUAUAGGGGACAACCUAGACUUGCAACUGGUAUCUGAAGUGUGUGUGUGGCAGGGAGAGCAGUCUUGAAGGACUGAGCCCUUAACCCAUGGGAACUGAUGCUAUCUUUAGAUAAAUGGUGUCAGAAUGGAGUUGAACUGGAAGACACCCAGCUAGUAUCGGAGAAUUGCUUAUUGGUGUGGGGAAGACAUCCUCACCCCUGCAUUGGCAUUGGCACUAGAAUAUGGAGUAGCCUUUUCAGAUUGGCUCCUUUCAGUAAGUAGUAUGCAUUUAAGUUUC